rnacentral:rRNA from 1 species
UACGUAGGCAGCAAGCGUUGUUCGGAGUUACUGGGUGUAAAGGGUGUGUAGGCGGCUUUUUAAGUUUGGUGUGAAAUCUCCCGGCUCAACUGGGAGGGUGCGCCGAAUACUGAGAGGCUAGAGUGUGGGAGAGGAAAGUGGAAUUCCUGGUGUAGCGGUGAAAUGCGUAGAUAUCAGGAGGAACACCGGUGGUGUAAACGGCUUUCUGGACCAUAACUGACGCUGAUGCACGAAAGCGUGGGUAGCAAACAGG